rnacentral:tRNA from 2 species
GCCCCCUUCGUCUAGUGGCCUAGGAUACCUGGUUCUCAGCCAGGAGACAGGGGUUCGAUUCCCCUAGGGGGUA